rnacentral:rRNA from 1 species
CAUGCAGUCGGACGAGGCCCACCUUUCGGGGUGGUGUUCUAGUGGCGAACGGGUGAGUAACACGUGGGCAACCUGCCCUCAGCUCUGGGAUAACUCCAAGAAAUUGGGGCUAAUACCGGAUAUGACUGCUGACCGCAUGGUCUGGUGGUGGAAAGAUUUAUCGGCUGGGGAUGGGCCCGCGGCCUAUCAGCUUGUUGGUGGGGUAGUGGCCUACCAAGGCGACGACGGGUAGCCGGCCUGAGAGGGUGACCGGCCACACUGGGACUGAGACACGGCCCAGACUCCUACGGGAGGCAGCAGUGGGGAAUAUUGCGCAAUGGGCGGAAGCCUGACGCAGCGACGCCGCGUGGGGGAUGACGGCCUUCGGGUUGUAAACCUCUUUCAGCAGGGACGAAGCGAAAGUGACGGUACCUGCAGAAGAAGCACCGGCCAACUACGUGCCAGCAGCCGCGGUAAUACGUANGGUGCAAGCGUUGUCCGGAAUUAUUGGGCGUAAAGAGCUCGUANCGGUCUGUCGCGUCGGCUGUGAAAUCCCGGAGCUCAACUCCGGGUCUGCAGUCGAUACGGGCAAACUGGAGUACUGCNGGGAGACUGGAAUUCCUGGUGUAGCGGUGAAAUGCGCAGAUAUCAGAGGAA